UGGGGAAUAUUGCACAAUGGGCGCAAGCCUGAUGCAGCCAUGCCGCGUGUAUGAAGAAGGCCUUCGGGUUGUAAAGUACUUUCAGCGGGGAGGAAGGGAGUAAAGUUAAUACCUUUGCUCAUUGACGUUACCUGCAGAAGAAGCACCGGCUAACUCCGUGCCAGCAGCCGCGGUAAUACGGAGGGUGCAAGCGUUAAUCGGAAUUACUGGGCGUAAAGCGCACGCAGGCGGUCUGUCAAGUCGGAUGUGAAAUCCCCGGGCUCAACCUGGGAACUGCAUUCAAAACUGGCAGGCUAGAGUCUUGUAGAGGGGGGUAGAAUUCCAGGUGUAGCGGUGAAAUGCGUAGAGAUCUGGAGGAAUACCGAUGGCGAAGGCGGCCCCCUGGACAAAGACUGACGCUCAGGUGCGAAAGAGUGGGGAGCAAACAGG
rnacentral:rRNA from 1 species